UUAAUACCAACCAACCCCUGUGAACCAACCGUGGGGCGCUCUGUGAUGGAGUCGUCCCAUGUUUAUCAUAAACACUGUAUGUCUUYAGAAUGUAAAUCUAUAUCCUCGYCYUAAAAAAGCGUCGAUAAAAAAAUUAAUACAACUUUCAACAACGGAUCUCUUGGCUCUCGCAUCGAUGAAGAACGCAGCGAAAUGCGAUAAGUAAUGUGAAUUGCAGAUUUUCAGUGAAUCAUCGAAUCUUUGAACGCACCUUGCGCUCCUUGGUAUUCCGAGGAGCAUGCCUGUUUGAGUGUCAUUAAAUUCUCAACC
rnacentral:rRNA from 1 species